GAUGAACGCUGGCGGCGUGCCUAAUACAUGCAAGUCGAGCGAACGGACGAGAAGCUUGCUUCUCUGAUGUUAGCGGCGGACGGGUGAGUAACACGUGGAUAACCUACCUAUAAGACUGGGAUAACUUCGGGAAACCGGAGCUAAUACCGGAUAAUAUUUUGAACCGCAUGGUUCAAAAGUGAAAGACGGUCUUGCUGUCACUUAUAGAUGGAUCCGCGCUGCAUUAGCUAGUUGGUAAGGUAACGGCUUACCAAGGCAACGAUGCAUAGCCGACCUGAGAGGGUGAGCGGCCACACUGAAACUGAGACACGGUCCAGACUCCUACGGGGGGCAGCAGUAGGGAAUCUUCCGCAAUGGGCGAAAGCCUGACGGAGCAACGCCGCGUGAGUGAUGAAGGUCGUCGGAUCGUAAAACUCUGUUAUUAGGGAAGAACAUAUGUGUAAGUAACUGUGCACAUCGUGACGGUACCUAAUCAGAAAGCCACGGCUAACUACG
rnacentral:rRNA from 1 species